AACAGCUACACAAGAGAAAAGGGCUCAAGUCAGCAACCAUGAUAGUUUGAUUUAAGAUCGGUAUUAAACAAGAUGCACUUUUUGAACGCUAUCCCUAUUUUCAUUGACAUAUUAGUAAAUAGUAUAUAUAAUAUUAACUUCUACCAUAUGAAUUGCAUGGUAAAAAAACAUAUUGCCAUUUUAUUUCCAAUAUAGUAUCUCUCUCCUAGUCCCCCCCCACCAAUUAGUCUUACCUUUGGCUGCUAUAAAUACAAUACAAGGAGUGUUGCCAAUACCAUAAUAUUAGAGUGCUCUUCUGAGACCUUCAGGAGAAAGUACACGUUUUCAGAUGUUGCUCAGCUUAAUAAAGCCCAGAAUAAUUUGACAUAUAUCUGGUCUUUCCUGAGCAGAGCAACAUCAUAAGAGUUUCCUCUCUUCCUCUGAAAUGUACUUCUUACUGUAGCACAAUUGCUAUAUGACCAGCAGGUGGCGCAGUUGUUUCAAUUUCAUUUUAUUAGCAGAGUAAAAAUAGCCAAUAACUUGAAAUCUAGAACACAAAAAAUACUAGACAUAUAUUAAUGCACUGAUCUAGUACAUUUUAUAGCCUGCCCAGGACAGUUUUACAUCAUCCUUAUAAGUAGUAGCCUGGUGGUUAUUUAGCUAAAAGACCUAUAACCAUUUAUUUGCUGAAAGAUGACUAUUUCAGGAAAAGUUUGUCCACUAACUGCUUAAACUUAUACUGCUGGUAACAUUAUUACUUAUGCCCUGGGAAUAAUUAUAGCUGCAGUGAUAGAUUAUACUAGGAUGUGACAUCACUGAUGUAUUAAAGGAAACAAUGUAACCAUCAUCUAACAUUUCCUAUAACCUCUGCUGAUGUUACUUUUUUGUAAAGCUCGAAACACAAGCUCAUAUUUCAAAAAGUACAGGUUUACUCUUGCUUUGAUAUCUUAAGAGAUUGUCUACCUGCCAAUGUAAAUUAUACAUGACAUCACCAGAUAAGAUUCCAUGACUUUCACAGCAGAGACAUUUUGUACUUCUAAUAUCCUUAUGAAUGACAGUAGGAGGUGAAAUGUUUUGUUUUCUUCAAAAACAAGUUCUAAACACCCUGCAAGCUUUCAUACCUCAGGACUUUCAAGUAUGUCUGCAGUUCCCCGGCGGUAGGCGUUGAGGUAGCCAUCAACCAAUAAAGUGAAGUCAGAAAACAUAGCAUCGAGCAUAGCGGAACGUAGAGGCAUAAGGUCUGUCUAUGAGCCAGAAAGGAAACCUUUGAGGGCAGCAUGCUGAGGUGGUGUAUCAGACACUCUUCCAGUGUUCUAGUGCCAUGUGGGAGGAAGCCACCCGUUUCCAUGGAAAAUAGUUGUCAAAGGGAGCAGACCCUGCAGCUGUAGACUUACCUCAUUAUAUAUUUGCAAAAAGGAAGACUGCAGAACUGAUUCCAACAAACGGCAGCCCUAUGUAUGUAAAAAAAAAGUGAUGCUUCUCCAAAUUCCCUUAAGUCACCUGAUAAGUACAGGUACGGGAUCCGUUAUCCGGCAACCCAGAAGAUCAUCUCCUGUAGGCUCCAUUUUAAUCAAAUAAUUCAAAAUAUUAAAAAAAAUUCCUUUU